UCCUACGGGGGGCAGCAGUGGGGAAUAUUGCACAAUGGGGGAGACCCUGAUGCAGCAACGCCGCGUGAAGGAAGACGGUUUUCGGAUUGUAAACUUCUGUUCUUAGUGAAGAAAAAUGACGGUAGCUAAGGAGCAAGCCACGGCUAACUACGUGCCAGCAGCCGCGGUAAUACGUAGGGAGCGAGCGUUGUCCGGAAUUACUGGGUGUAAAGGGAGCGUAGGCGGGCGAGAAAGUUGAAUGUUAAAUCUGCCGGCUUAACUGGUAGCUGCGUUCAAAACUUCUUGUCUUGAGUGAAGUAGAGGCA
rnacentral:rRNA from 1 species